rnacentral:rRNA from 1 species
UGCUAAUCUGCGAUAAGCGCCGGUAAGGUGAUAUGAACCGUUAUAACCGGCGAUACCCGAAUGGGGAAACCCAGUGUGACUCGUCACACUAUCAUUAACUGAAUCCAUAGGUUAAUGAGGCGAACCGGGGGAACUGAAACAUCUAAGUACCCCGAGGAAAAGAAAUCAACCGAGAUUCCCCCAGUAGCGGCGAGCGAACGGGGAGGAGCCCAGAGCCUGAAUCAGCAUGUGUGUUAGUGGAAGCGUCUGGAAAGGCGCGCGAUACAGGGUGACAGCCCCGUACACAAAAGCGCAUGUGCUGUGAGCUCGAUGAGUAGGGCGGGACACGUGGUAUCCUGUCUGAAUAUGGGGGGACCAUCCUCCAAGGCUAA